rnacentral:lncRNA from 1 species
ACUUUACAUACAAAGUGAAGUGGUUGACAAGUGUCUUAAAGCUAUUUAUGAAAUAAAUAAAGUACACUACUAAUGUACCAAAUACUAACUCUGAUGCGAUUUUUUGAGACUUUAGUAUAAUUCGGAAAAUUGCUUAUUUUGAAGGAUUGUCUUGAAUAGGUUUAAAGGUUAAUGAAAAUCGUGACCUGUAGCACUUGAAUAUUUUAUGAAACCGGAGUUAUAAUCAAACUCGACCCGUGUAAAUUUGACAAAUGCUAAAACCUUGGUAUAAUGAAGACGCCACACUUCAGGGUAGUAAACAAAGUGAUAAGUCAAAACAGUGAACGCUACAAACUCAAAAAGUUUAAUAAGUUCGGUAAAGUCACUUAAGAACCUUGAAGAGAAAAUUCUCACAAAAUUG